CCUACGGGAGGCAGCAGUGAGGAAUAUUGGUCAAUGGCCGAGAGGCUGAACCAGCCAAGUCGCGUGAGGGAAGACGGCCCUACGGGUUGUAAACCUCUUUUGUCGGGGAGCAAAGCGAGUCACGUGUGACUCAUUGAGAGUACCCGAAGAAAAAGCAUCGGCUAACUCCGUGCCAGCAGCCGCGGUAAUACGGAGGAUGCGAGCGUUAUCCGGAUUUAUUGGGUUUAAAGGGUGCGCAGGCGGAGGUGCAAGUCAGCGGUCAAAUUGCGGGGCUCAACCCCGUACUGCCGUUGAAACUCCAUCCCGUGAGUGCGCGAGAAGUAUGCGGAAUGCGUGGUGUAGCGGUGAAAUGCAUAGAUAGCACGCAGAACUCCGAUUGCGAAGGCAGCAUACCGGCGCGCAACUGACGCUCAUGCACGAAAGCGUGGGUAACGAACAGGAUUAGAUACCCGGGUAGUC
rnacentral:rRNA from 1 species